rnacentral:rRNA from 1 species
UACGGGGGGAGCAAGCGUUGUUCGGAUUUACUGGGCGUAAAGGGCGCGUAGGCGGCGUGACAAGUCACUUGUGAAAUCUCCGGGCUUAACCCGGAGCGGUCAAGUGAUACUGUCGUGCUAGAGUGCGGAAGGGGCUACUGGAAUUCAUGGUGUAGCAGUGAAAUGCGUAGAGAUCAUGAGGAAGACCAGUGGCGAAGGCGGGUCUCUGGACAGUUCCUGACACUGAUGCACGAAGGCCAGGGGAGCAAACGGG